GAUGAACGCUGGCUACAGGCUUAACACAUGCAAGUCGAGGGGAAACGACGGGGAAGCUUGCUUCCCCGGGCGUCGACCGGCGCACGGGUGAGUAACGCGUAUCCAACCUGCCUCUGACUGAGGGAUAACCCGUCGAAAGUCGGCCUAAUACCUCAUGGCAUCGUCUGCGGGCAUCCAACGACGAUUAAAGAUUUCAUCGGUCAGGGAUGGGGAUGCGUCUGAUUAGCUUGUUGGCGGGGUAACGGCCCACCAAGGCUACGAUCAGUAGGGGUUCUGAGAGGAAGGUCCCCCACAUUGGAACUGAGACACGGUCCAAACUCCUACGGGAGGCAGCAGUGAGGAAUAUUGGUCAAUGGGCGGGAGCCUGAACCAGCCAAGUAGCGUGCAGGAUGACGGCCCUAUGGGUUGUAAACUGCUUUUAUGCGGGGAUAAAGUGAGGGACGUGUCCUUCAUUGCAGGUACCGCAUGAAUAAGGACCGGCUAAUUCCGUG
rnacentral:rRNA from 1 species